UUAAAAUAUUUUACAAGUGAAUUACAAAAGUUUUAUAAACUAUUAUGCCCAUCAAUAUCCAUUUUUGACAUUUUAUUUAUCUUAUACAAAUACGCACCAGCUAGGUACCUACGAUGUACGGUUUUAAAUAAUAAAUGUUGGAUUUAGAAAAGUCUUAAAAGAAAAAAAUUAUUUCUUAUUUAAAAAUUAAAUGUACCUACGCACAAAAAUAAAUAAACUAGUUUAACUUUAUAUCCUUAUUGUUAUUUUAACUACAGUGACAUUUUUAUUCACAAAGAGUAAAAAAUUUUAUAUUUAAAAUUAGUAUUAAGCAAAUAUUAUUGUCAGUUAAUCUAAUCAAAUUGUAAAUUCUAUCGAGUUUUUUGUGGAAAACAUAAUAUAUAAUAAUUAAUGAUAUAGGUAGCUGUUAUAGGCAUUGUUUUAAGAAUAUUUUGAAAUGUAUCUAUAUUAUUAUCAGUAAAACACUGAACACAUCGUUGAAAUAACACGUGAGAAAAUGUUAUGUAACUUAGUCCAUCUGAUAAAUAUUG